rnacentral:misc_RNA from 1 species
AAGUCGUAACAAGGUUUCCGUAGGUGAACCUGCGGAAGGAUCAUUAUAAAAAUUUACAUUUUAAUAUGUAAAAAAAAAAAUGUAUUCAAAACCCAAUUCUUUAAAUCAUAAAAUAUAUAUUUUUAUAUAUAUAAAAAAAAUAAAUAAUAAAAUAAUAACAACUUUCAACAACGGAUCUCUUGGCUCUC